rnacentral:lncRNA from 1 species
AGACUGCCUUUAGCGAUCCUUAACAUUGUCCACGGCCAUUACAACAUCAAAAAGAGGCAUGAGCCAAAUGUUCUUCACAGGAAACUGGGUUGUUACAGUCCAUCAUUGAGGGAAGUCAGUUAGGAGCUUGAAGGCAGCCCUGUCACUAUUUCACUCACAUGGCCUCCAACUAAGGAACUCACUUCAUAGCUAACGCAGGUUUCUAGCAAGGUUACCCUUGAACUUGCUAAGUAUCAGAAGAUGACCUUGAACAUCUGAUCCUCCUGUGUCUACUUCCCGAGUGCCGAGAUUAGAAGCAUGUACUACCAUGACCCCUUCCUGAAAUGGUAGGGGUUAACCCCAGGGCAUCCUGCACGCUAGCCAAUUACUCUGCGCAGUGAGCUCCACCCCAGCCCUGUGUAUAUCUUUGAAACAUGCUCUGACUUUAUGCUCUAAAGAUUUAGCUGUGUGGAUUCAGCAGACCAGAGAUUAAGACAAUGUUCUCUAAACAAUUAAAUGAACAAACAUUACCAGUAGCAACACAGAACUGGGUUGGUUUUUUUUUUUUUUUCAUGCUUCUAUGAGCACUUAAUAUUAUUGUACUUAAAAUAUUUAAAAAAUAUAAUUGAUAAAUAUCAUUUUUAAAAUGCUUGCAUUUGCUAGGUUUUUAAUAAAAUUAAGCUUCUUUUCAUUUGCACAUAGAACAUUUUGGUGGUU